UACGAAGGGGGCUAGCGUUGCUCGGAAUCACUGGGCGUAAAGCGCACGUAGGCGGCUUUUUAAGUCAGGGGUGAAAUCCUGGAGCUCAACUCCAGAACUGCCUUUGAUACUGAGAAGCUUGAGUCCAGGAGAGGUGAGUGGAACUGCGAGUGUAGAGGUGAAAUUCGUAGAUAUUCGCAAGAACACCAGUGGCGAAGGCGGCUCACUGGCCCGGUACUGACGCUGAGGUGCGAAAGCGUGGGGAGCAAACAGG
rnacentral:rRNA from 1 species